rnacentral:rRNA from 1 species
UAACACGUUAGUAACUUGCCCAUGAGCGGGGGACAACAUUCGGAAACGGAUGCUAAUACCCCAUAGGUGGAUUGGUCGCAUGACGAAUUCAUUAAAGGUGGCUUUGCUACCACUCAUGGAUAGCCUCGCGGCGUAUUAGCUAGUUGGUAAGGUAAUGGCUUACCAAGGCAGUGAUACGUAGCCGACUUGAGAGGGUGAUCGGCCACACUGGGACUGAGACACGGCCCAG